CCUACGGGUGGCAGCAGUGGGGAAUAUUGGGCAAUGGACGCGAGUCUGACCCAGCAAAGCAGCGUGAAGGAUGACUGCCCUAUGGGUUGUAAACUUUUUUUAUAUGGGCAAAAAAAAGGGUAUGCCUACCCUCUUGUAUGUACCCGAUGAAUAAGGAUCAGCUCACUCAGUGCCAGCAGCCGCGGUAAUACGGGGGAUGCGAGGGUUAUCCGGAUUUAUUGGGGGUAAAGGGAGCGUAGGUGGGACGUUAAGUCAGAUGUGAAAGUUUGGGGCUCAACCUUUAAACUGCAGUUGAAACUGGCAGUCUUGAGUACAGGAGAGGUGGACGGAAUUCGUAGUGUAGCGGUGAAAUGCUUAGAUAUUACGAGGAACUCCAAUGGCGAAGGCAGCUCACUGGACUGCAACUGACACUGAUGCUCGAAAGUGUGGGGAGCAAACAGGAUUAGAUACCCCAGUAGUC
rnacentral:rRNA from 1 species